rnacentral:rRNA from 1 species
AGCGAACGCUGGCGGCAGGCCUAACACAUGCAAGUCGAGCGGCCGUAGCAAUACGGCAGCGGCAGACGGGAGAGUAACACGUGGGAACGCGCCCUUCGGUUCGGGAUAACUCAGGGAGACUUGGGCUGAUACCGGAUACGCCCUUACGGGGAAAGAUUUAUUGCCGAAGGAACGGCCCGCGUCCGAUUAGCUUGUUGGUGAGGUAACGGCUCACCAAGGCGACGAUCGGUAGCUGGUCUGAGAGGAUGACCAGCCUCACUGGGACUGAGACACGGCCCAGACUCCUACGGGAGGCAGCAGUGGGGAAUAUUGGACAAUGGGCGCAAGCCUGAUCCAGCCAUGCCGCGUGGGUGAUGAAGGCCCUAGGGCUGUAAAGCCCUUUCAGCGGGGAAGAUAAUGACGGUACCCGCAGAAGAAGCCCCGGCUAACUUCGUGCCAGCCGCCGCCGUAAUAC